GACGAACGCUGGCGGCGUGCUUAACACAUGCAAGUCGAACGGAAAGGCCUUGCUUUUGUGGGGUGCUCGAGUGGCGAACGGGUGAGUAACACGUGAGUAACCUGCCCUUGACUUUGGGAUAACUCCAGGAAACUGGGGCUAAUACCGGAUAGGAGCUCCUGCUGCAUGGUGGGGGUUGGAAAGUUUCGGCGGUUGGGGAUGGACUCGCGGCUUAUCAGCUUGUAGGUGGGGUAGUGGCUUACCAAGGCUUUGACGGGUAGCCGGCCUGAGAGGGUGACCGGCCACAUUGGGACUGAGAUACGGCCCAGACUCCUACGGGAGGCAGCAGUGGGGAAUAUUGCACAAUGGGCGGAAGCCUGAUGCAGCAACGCCGCGUGCGGGAUGACGGCCUUCGGGUUGUAAACCGCUUUCGCCUGUGACGAAGCGUGAGUGACGGUAAUGGGUAAAGAAGCACCGGCUAACUACGUGCCAGCAGCCGCGGUGAUACGUAGGGUGCGAGCGUUGUCCGGAUUUAUUGGGCGUAAAGGGCUCGUAGGUGGUUGAUCGCGUCGGAAGUGUAAUCUUGGGGCUUAACCCUGAGCGUGCUUUCGAUACGGGUUGACUUGAGGAAGGUAGGGGAGAAUGGAAUUCCUGGUGGAGCGGUGGAAUGCGCAGAUAUCAGGAGGAACACCAGUGGCGAAGGCGGUUCUCUGGGCCUUUCCUGACGCUGAGGAGCGAAAGCGUGGGGAGCGAACAGGCUUAGAUACCCUGGUAGUCCACGCUGUAAACGGUGGGUACUAGGUGUGGGGUCCAUUCCACGGGUUCCGUGCCGUAGCUAACGCUUUAAGUACCCCGCCUGGGGAGUACGGCCGCAUGGCUAAAACUCAAAGGAAUUGACGGGGCCCCGCACAAGCGGCGGAGCAUGCGGAUUAAUUCGAUGCAACGCGUAGAACCUUACCUGGGUUUGACAUGGAUCGGGAGUGCUCAGAGAUGGGUGUGCCUCUUUUGGGGUCGGUACACAGGUGGUGCAUGGCUGUCGUCAGCUCGUGUCGUGAGAUGUUGGGUUAAGUCCCGCAACGAGCGCAACCCUUGUUCACUGUUGCCAGCACGUUAUGGUGGGGACUCAGUGGAGACCGCCGGGGUCAACUCGGAGGAAGGUGGGGAUGACGUCAAGUCAUCAUGCCCCUUAUGUCCAGGGCUUCACGCAUGCUACAAUGGCUGGUACAGAGAGUGGCGAGCCUGUGAGGGUGAGCGAAUCUCGGAAAGCCGGUCUCAGUUCGGAUUGGGGUCUGCAACUCGACCUCAUGAAGUCGGAGUCGCUAGUAAUCGCAGAUCAGCAACGCUGCGGUGAAUACGUUCCCGGGGCUUGUACACACCGCCCGUC
rnacentral:rRNA from 1 species